rnacentral:rRNA from 1 species
UAAGUAUAAGCACUUAUACUGUGAAACUGCGAAUGGCUCAUUAAAUCAGUUAUCGUUUAUUUGAUAGUACCUUACUACAUGGAUACCCGUGGUAAUUCUAGAGCUAAUACAUGCUGAAAACCCCGACUUCGGAAGGGGUGUGUUUAUUAGAUAAAAAACCAAUGCCCUUCGGGGCUCCUUGGUGAUUCAUAAUAACCAAACGAAUCGCAUGGCCUUGUGCCGGCGAUGGUUCAUUCAAAUUUCUGCCCUAUCAACUUUCGAUGGUAGGAUAGUGGCCUACCAUGGUAUCAACGGGUAACGGGGAAUUAGGGUUCGAUUCCGGAGAGGGAGCCUGAGAAACGGCUACCACAUCCAAGGAAGGCAGCAGGCGCGCAAAUUACCCAAUCCCGACACGGGGAGGUAGUGACAAUAAAUACUGAUACAGGGCUCUUUUGGGUCUUGUAAUCGGAAUGAGUACAAUUUAAAUCUCUUAACGAGGAACAAUUGGAGGGCAAGUCGGUGCCAGCAGCCGCGGUAAUUCCAGCUCCAAUAGCGUAUAUUAAAGUUGUUGCAGUUAAAAAGCUCGUAGUUGAACCUUGGGUUCGGCUGGCCGGUCCGCCUAACCGCGUGCACUGGUCUGGCCGGGCCCUUACCUCUGGGGAGCUGCAUGCCCUUCACUGGGCGUGUCAGGGAACCAGGACUUUUACUUUGAAAAAAUUAGAGUGUUCAAAGCAGGCCUUUGCUCGGAUACAUUAGCAUGGAAUAAUAGAAUAGGACGUGCGAUCCUAUUUUGUUGGUUUCUAGGAUUGCCGUAAUGAUUAAUAGGGACAGUCGGGGGCAUCAGUAUUCAGCCGUCAGAGGUGAAAUUCUUGGAUCGGCUGAAGACUAGCUACUGCGAAAGCAUUUGCCAAGGAUGUUUUCAUUAAUCAGGGAACGAAAGUUGGGGGAUCGAAGACGAUCAGAUACCGUCGUAGUCUCAACCGUAAACUAUGCCGACUAGGGAUCGGGCGACGUUCCAAUUUUGACUCGCCCGGCACCUUACGAGAAAUCAAAGUUUUGGGUCGGGG